rnacentral:rRNA from 1 species
UACGUAGGGUGCGAGCGUUAAUCGGAAUUACUGGGCGUAAAGCGUGCGCAGGCGGUUGUGCAAGACCGAUGUGAAAUCCCAGGGCUUAACCUGGGAAUGGCAUUGGUGACUGCACGGCUAGAGUGUGUCAGAGGGGGGUAGAAUUCCACGUGUAGCAGUGAAAUGCGUAGAGAUGUGGAGGAAUACCGAUGGCGAAGGCAGCCCCCUGGGAUAACACUGACGCUCAUGCACGAAAGCGUGGGGAGCAAACAGG